rnacentral:rRNA from 1 species
UGCGUAAUAGCUCACUGGUCGAGAGUAUCUGCGCCGAAGAUUUAACGGGGCUAAGGCAUAAACCGAAGCUGUGGAAACGAGAAAUUGUUUGGUAGGAGAGCGUUCUGUAAGCCGUAGAAGGUGAGUUGGAAGACGAACUGGAGGUAUCAGAAGUGAGAAUGCAGGAAUGAGUAGCGAGAAGGAGGGUGAGAAUCCCUCCGGCCGGAAGUCCAAGGUUUCCAGGGGAAGGUUUGUCCGCCCUGGGGGAGUCGGGACCUAAGCCCAGGCUAAGGAGCGUAGGCGAAUGGAAAAUAGGUUAAUAUUCCUAUACCACUAUAAAUUGUUUGAGAGAUGGAGUGACGCAGGAAGGUAUGUGAGCUGGCUGACGGAAUAGCCAGUCUAAGGAAGAAGCAUGAUUACUAAGGCAAAUCCGAGUAAUUAAAUGUGAGAACUGAUGGGUAAGUACUUAAGAGUAUAAGUUACAGAUCCUACACUGCCGAGAAAAACUUCUAUUGAGAGAUAUAGUGCCCGUACUGAAAACCGACACAGGUGGACAGAGUGAGAAACUUAAGGCCGACAGGAUAACUCUAGCUAAGGAACUCUGCAAAAUAGCCCCGUAACUUCGGGAGAAGGGGUGCCUAAUAUACUUGAGUGGAGAAACACCACAAGGGGAAAUAGGCCGCAGUGAAGAGUCCCAAGCAACUGUUUACCAAAAACACAGGUCUAUGCUAAGCUGAAAGGCGACGUAUAUGGGCUGACACCUGCCCAGUGCCGGAAGGUUAAGAGGAGGAUUGAGAGAUUCGAAUUGAAGCCCCGGUGAACGGCGGCCGUAACUAUAACGGUCCUAAGGUAGCGAAAUUCCUUGUCGGGUAAGUUCCGACCUGCACGAAUGGUGAAAUGAUUUGGGAGCUGUCUUGGCUGGAGACCUGGUGAAGUUGUAAUGUCGGUGAAGAUACCGAUUACCUGCAGUAGGACGGAAAGACCCCGUGGAGCUUUACUGUAGCUUGACAUUGGGUUUUGGCAAUAUGUGUAUAGGAUAGUUGGGAGACUGAGAAGUUAAUGCGUCAGUAUUAAUGGAGUCGCUGUUGGAAUACCAACCAUAUAUUGUUGAAAUUCUAAUCAUUAAUUUGAAGUUAAUGAGACAGUGUUAGGUGGGCAGUUUGACUGGGGCGGUCGCCUCCAAAAGAGUAACGGAGGCGUUCAAAGGUUCCCUCAGGUUGGAUGGAAAUCAACCGGAGAGUGCAAACGCAAAAGGGAGCUUGACUGCGAGACUGACGGGUCGAGCAGGUACGAAAGUAGGAGUUAGUGAUCCGGCGGUACCGAAUGGAAGGGCCGUCGCUCAACGGAUAAAAGCUACCCCGGGGAUAACAGGCUGAUACUUCCCAAGAGUCCAUAUCGACGGAAGUGUUUGGCACCUCGAUGUCGGCUCGUCUCAUCCUGGGGCUGGAGAAGGUCCCAAGGGUUGGGCUGUUCGCCCAUUAAAGAGGCACGCGAGCUGGGUUCAGAACGUCGUGAGACAGUUCGGUCCCUAUCCACUGCAGGCGCUUGAAUAUUGAAAAGUUCUGUCCUUAGUACGAGAGGACCGGGAUGGACAAACCUCUGAUGUAUCAGUUGUCACGCCAGUGGCAUGGCUGAGUAGUCACGUUUGGAAGGGAUAAUCGCUGAAAGCAUCUAAGUGAGAAACCCACUUUGAGAUAAGUAUUCUUUUAAGUAUCCACUGAGACUAAGUGGUUGAUAGGUUGGGGGUGUAAGUGUAGUGAUACAUUUAGCUGACCAAUACUAAUAAUACGUAAGCUUUACAUAA